AGGACGAACGCUGGCGGCGUGCUUAACACAUGCAAGUCGAGCGGUAAGGCCUUUCGGGGUACACGAGCGGCGAACGGGUGAGUAACACGUGGGUGAUCUGCCCUGCACUUCGGGAUAAGCCUGGGAAACUGGGUCCAAUACCGGAUAUGACCUCAGGUUGCAUGACUUGGGGUGGAAAGAUUUAUCGGUGCAGGAUGGGCCCGCGGCCUAUCAGCUUGUUGGUGGGGUAAUGGCCUACCAAGGCGACGACGGGUAGCCGACCUGAGAGGGUGACCGGCCACACUGGGACUGAGACACGGCCCAGACUCCUACGGGAGGCGGCAGUGGGGAAUAUUGCACAAUGGGCGAAAGCCUGAUGCAGCGACGCCGCGUGAGGGAUGGACGGCCGUUCGGGUAGUAACCUCUUUCAGCGAGGACGAAGCGCAAGUGACGGUACCUGCAGAAGAAGCGACCGGACUAACGUACGUGCCAGCACGCCGAC
rnacentral:rRNA from 1 species